UGCGAAGGUGGCGGAAUUGGUAGACGCGCUAGCUUCAGGUGUUAGUGUCUUAACGGACGUGAGGGUUCAAGUCCCUCUCUUCGCACCAC
rnacentral:tRNA from 1 species